rnacentral:rRNA from 1 species
AUGAAAUCCAUCACGAGAGCCCUCUGCACUCGCCUUCAGCGGCACAUCCACUCCUUGGUGGACCCCGACCAGACGGGUUUCCUUCCCGGAAGGCGCAUCUCUGAGAACAUCGUGUACGCUGCGGACCUCCUCCGUGCCUGCCAUGUGCGUAAGGUCCCCAUUGUAGUGUUUAAAAUCGACUUCCGCAAAGCCUUUGACUCUGUCAACUGGUCAAGCCUUCUCACGAUCUUGUCUGCGCGCGGGUUUGACGAACGUUGGUGCGGAUGGAUCCAUGCCAUCCUCUCAACCGGGCACACGUCGGUUCUCCUUAAUAAUGUUCCCGGGGACUGGAUCCUUUGCCGCAACGGCCUCCGCCAAGGCGACGCCCUAUCUCCUUAUCUCUUUAUCAUUGUGGCCGAUGUCCUUCAGCGCCUGAUCAAGACGGCCAGCGCUACCGGGCAGCUGGCGCACCCAAUCGACGCCUCCCUCCCUUGCCAUGUCCUGCAAUAUGCAGAUGAUACCCUUAUCCUUUGUCGCGCCGACAUUCCCUCCGUCACCCUUCUCAAAAAAACUCUCGAUGCCUUUGCCCUCGCGACCGGGCUUGCUAUUAAUUUCCAUAAGUCUAGGUUCAUUCCCAUGCAUUGCGCCCCCGAGCUGUCAACUGAAAUGGCUUCGAUCCUCGGAUGCCCUAUCUCCACCUUUCCCCAACCCUACCUCGGUCUUCCUCUCUCCCCUCUCAAACUCCCCAUCUCUGCUUACGACCCCCUCAUAAGGUCUUUUGACCGCUAUUUGUCCGGGUGGCGCGCUCUUCUCCUUUCCUCAGGUGGUAGGCUUGUCCUCUGCAACGCGGUCCUUAAUAACCUUGCCACUUAUUUUAUGUGCUCCUAUAUGCUGCCCCUGGAGUGA